UCUCCGUAGGUGAACCUGCGGAGGGAUCAUUACUGAGUGAGGGUUUAACCGCCCGACCUCCAACCCUUUGUGAACCAAACUUGUUGCUUCGGGGGCGACCCUGCCGUUUGGCGCGGCGCCCCCGGAGGUCUUCCAAACACUGCAUCUUUGCGUCGGAGUUUAAACAAAUUAAACAAAACUUUCAACAACGGAUCUCUUGGUUCUGGCAUCGAUGAAGAACGCAGC
rnacentral:misc_RNA from 1 species